ACGGAACCAUCAAGGCAAAAGCAGAUUGAAGGAUGGAAAGGUGGACCAUGAAAUUGAAGAUGAUGAUUGAAUUCUCUCCUCAUCCAACAAUAUUUAAGAUCAAAUCCAUGCUUCAAUUUUGUACAUCUUUCAUACUUCAGUGCUCUGUUACCAGGUCCACACAGGCUGCAUCCGGAAUCCCCUAUGUCAGGUCCACACCGCCUUCUCGCUUCACACCACGGCGUGCGAAAGCCCCGUUUAUCAGGUGCCAAUUUUCUCCUAAUUUCGUACACGUCAAAUUCAUUACUUCAGUCUGUUUGGUCUCCUUGGUUCACUUCAGACCUGCAC